rnacentral:rRNA from 1 species
GACGAACGCUGGCGGCGUGCUUAACACAUGCAAGUCGAACGGACAGACAGAGAGCUUGCUCUCUUGAAGUUAGUGGCGAACGGGUGAGUAACGCGUAAUCAACCUGCCCUUCAGAGGGGGAUAACAACGGGAAACCGUUGCUAAUACCGCGUACGAUUCAUGAACGGCAUCGUUUAUGAAUGAAAGGUGGCCUCUAUGUAUAAGCUAUCGCUGAAGGAGGGGAUUGCGUCUGAUUAGCUAGUUGGAGGGGUAACGGCCCACCAAGGCAAUGAUCAGUAGCAGGUCAGCGAGGAUGAACGGCCACAUUGGGACUGAGACACGGCCCAAACUCCUACGGGAGGCAGCAGUGGGGAAUCUUCCACAAUGGACGAAAGUCUGACGGAGCAACGCCGCGUGAGUGAUGAAGGUCUUCGGAUUGUAAAGCUCUGUUAAUCGGGACGAAAGAGUUCUGCGUGAAUAAUGCAGAAAAGUGACGGUACCGGAAUAGAAAGCCACGGCUAACUACGUGCCAGCCGCCGCCGUAA